rnacentral:rRNA from 1 species
AGAUUGAUCCUGGCUCAGGAUGAACGCUGGCGGUCUGCUUAACACAUGCAAGUCGAACGGGGGUAGCAGUACCUCAGUGGCGGACGGGUGAGUAACGCGUGAGAAUCUGCCUUCAGGUUCGGGACAACCAUUGGAAACGGUGGCUAAUACCGGAUGUGCUUCACGGUGAAAGAUUUAUCGCCUGAAGAGGAGCUCGCGUCUGAUUAGCUAGUUGGUAGGGUAAAAGCCUACCAAGGCGACGAUCAGUAGCUGGUCUGAGAGGAUGAUCAGCCACACUGGGACUGAGACACGGCCCAGACUCCUACGGGAGGCAGCAGUGGGGAAUUUUCCGCAAUGGGCGAAAGCCUGACGGAGCAAGACCGCGUGAGGGAGGAAGGCUCUUGGGUUGUAAACCUCUUUUCUCAGGGAAGAAGAAAGUGACGGUACCUGAGGAAUCAGCCUCGGCUAACUCCGUGCCAGCAGCCGCGGUAAUACGGAGGAGGCAAGCGUUAUCCGGAAUUAUUGGGCGUAAAGCGUCCGCAGGUGGCUCGCUCAAGUCUGCUGUCAAAGACCGGGGCUUAACUCCGGAAAGGCAGUGGAAACUGACAAGCUAGAGGGCUCUAGGGGGUAGA